CAACCUCAACUCAUAUGGGACUACCCCCUGAAUUUAAGCAUAUUAAUUAGGGGAGGAAAAGAAACUAACAAGGAUUUUCUUAGUAGCGGCGAGCGAAAAGAAAUCAGUUCAGCACUAAGUCACUUUGUCUAUAUGGCAAAUGUGAGAUGCAGUGUACGGAACAUCAACAUUCUAGUAUGAGAAGUUAACGAUUUAAGUCCUUCUUAAAUGAGGCCAUUUACCCAUAGAGGGUGCCAGGCCCGUAUAACGUUAAUGAUUACUAGAUGGUGUUUCCAAAGAGUCGUGUUGCUUGAUAGUGCAGCACUAAGUGGGUGGUAAACUCCAUCUAAAAC
rnacentral:ncRNA from 1 species